UCCCUGGUGGCUAAGAUGGUAAAGGAUCCGCCUGCAAUGUGGGAGACCUAGGUUCCACUCCUGGGUCGGGAA
rnacentral:tRNA from 1 species